rnacentral:rRNA from 1 species
GCGGAACGAUGGUAGCUUGCUACCAGGCGUCGAGCGGCGGACGGGUGAGUAACACUUAGGAAUCUACCUAGUAGUGGGGGAUAGCUCGGGGAAACUCGAAUUAAUACCGCAUACGACCUACGGGAGAAAGGGGGCAGUUUACUGCUCUCGCUAUUAGAUGAGCCUAAGUCGGAUUAGCAAGAUGGUGGGGUAAAGGCCUACCAUGGCGACGAUCUGUAGCUGGUCUGAGAGGAUGAUCAGCCACACCGGGACUGAGACACGGCCCGGACUCCUAUGGGAGGCAGCAGUGGGGAAUAUUGGACAAUGGGCGAAAGCCUGAUCCAGCCAUGCCGCGUGUGUGAAGAAGGCCUUUUGGUUGUAAAGCACUUUAAGCAGUGAAGAAGACUCUGUGGUUAAUACCCACAGACGAUGACAUUAGCUGCAGAAUAAGCACCGGCUAACUCUGUGCCAGCAGCCGCGGUAAUACAGAGGGUGCAAGCGUUAAUCGGAAUUACUGGGCGUAAAGCGAGCGUAGGUGGCUUGAUAAGUCAGAUGUGAAAUCCCCGGGCUUAACCUGGGAACUGCAUCUGAAACUGUUAGGCUAGAGUAGGUGAGAGGAAGGUAGAAUUCCAGGUGUAGCGGUGAAAUGCGUAGAGAUCUGGAGGAAUACCGAUGGCGAAGGCAGCCUUCUGGCAUCAUACUGACACUGAGGCUCGAAAGCGUGGGUAGCAAACAGGAUUAGAUACCCUGGUAGUCCACGCCGUAAACGAUGUCUACUAGUCGUUGGGUCCCUUGAGGACUUAGUGACGCAGCUAACGCAAUAAGUAGACCGCCUGGGGAGUACGGCCGCAAGGCUAAAACUCAAAUGAAUUGACGGGGGCCCGCACAAGCGGUGGAGCAUGUGGUUUAAUUCGAUGCAACGCGAAGAACCUUACCUGGUCUUGACAUAUCUAGAAUCCUGCAGAGAUGCGGGAGUGCCUUCGGGAAUUAGAAUACAGGUGCUGCAUGGCUGUCGUCAGCUCGUGUCGUGAGAUGUUGGGUUAAGUCCCGCAACGAGCGCAACCCUUGUCCUUAGUUACCAGCGGGUUAAGCCGGGAACUCUAAGGAUACUGCCAGUGACAAACUGGAGGAAGGCGGGGACGACGUCAAGUCAUCAUGGCCCUUACGACCAGGGCUACACACGUGCUACAAUGGUAGGUACAGAGGGCAGCUACACAGCGAUGUGAUGCGAAUCUCAAAAAGCCUAUCGUAGUCCAGAUUGGAGUCUGCAACUCGACUCCAUGAAGU